GCCUCAGCUCGCCCGCAUCAUCCUGGCGUUCAGCUCCGGCUCCCUCUGCCUUUCCCCACACUUGUUCCCGCUCCGAGCGCCGCUGCCCCGGCCAUUCCCAGCGAGACUAGAAAGCCAAAUGAAAACGAGGAGGAAAAAAAGAAAAACAAACAGACAAACAAGACAGACAAAAAUCCUGGCGGCUGCUGCUGGCACCUCGGGAGCGCUCUGCCGGGGCGGGCUGCGGGGCGGCUCUGCGGAGGGGAGAGAAGGGAGGAGAGCGGCGGUGAGCGGGGUCGGGCGCCGGAGUUUGGCAAAGUGUUUCCCCGAGCCCUCCCCGCUCUGCUCUGCUCCGCACAGCGGCUCCCGCCGGGUCGGCGGCCCCGGGGCGGCGGUGCCCGGCGGGGCUGGGGCUCGGGCAGGGGCGGCGGCGCCCCGCACUCACCUGCCCCGGCGGGGAGCGAGAGAGGGAGCGCGGCGCAGCAGCGGGGAGCGCCGGCCGGGAAGGAGAAGCGUCCGGGCGGCUCCCGCUCGCAGCCUGAGGAAGAGGAGCGCAACUCAGCGGCAAUAAGAGAGGCCGAGGAGCCGCCGUCUCCCAAGCCCCAGUCCCCUCCCCCUCCCCGCCCUCCUCCUCCUUCUCCUCCUCCUCUGCCCCCCAAGACAUCGGCGGCGCGGAAGAACCAACAAACAAACACGGCCUUGACAGCCGGCCGGGCGGGGGCCGGCUCAGUGAGAUGCGGAAGGGAAGGGGGGGACGGGCAGCGGCGUCCCCGAACCGGGCAGGUAGCGCCGAGACGGGCGGGGGCACCCACCUGCGCCCCGCGGGCUCCUGCGUGGCCCCGCGCCGCCGUGCGGUGCCGCCCUGACCCCGCGCCCACCGCCCGGCUACUGCCGUCUGCCCUCCCGCAUGGGGAACCCCGUGCUGGAGGCUCACCUGGACCUCCUGCUCUUGUCCCCUUUGCAUCCUGUGGUCACCUUCUCUCACCCUCCUAUUCCCGACAGCCGAACCCUUCCCCUCGUGCCCUCUCGACUGUCACCAUUCUGUCCAUCCCCCACAAAGGAGCAGAGAAGCAGCCCAGAUUCCCCAGGCCUGCUCUGUUCCCCAGAGAAAAUGUGCAGCCUCAAAUCUCGAUCCAGGAGGGCACAGUACUCUCCUAG
rnacentral:lncRNA from 1 species